rnacentral:lncRNA from 1 species
GUUUGCUAAUGCACGUAUGUUGUUUUUUCAGUUGGUACAUUUUAAUAAUGUGUAUCGGGUUUUAGUAGACAAAAAUAUCCUUAUAUAUCAUGGAUUCUAAGUUUUAAGGUUAAGGGUAUUUUAAUAAUUUUCAUUCUUAAAACUAAAAAAAGAAACCCCCAAACCUUUACUCAUCUCUCUCAUUCCUCUCAACCCUUCCUCUUUCAUCUUUGUUACUCCAACAUUUUCUCUAUCAUCCUUAUUAUAGUCCAAUUGAAAAAAUCAGAAAGACUUGCCUAACUCUAAUCCACCUUCCUCACUUAUCCAAUUUUUUUCUCUCUCAUCUUCAUACUCUCCCUUACCUACAUACAACAACCCGUGACAUUGCAAUUUAUUGCUCUUGCUUUCUGUUUUCCACUUUAAUAACAAAAUAAUUGAUGAUGUUGAUGUUGAUUUUUGAUUAGAGGACAAUGUUAUAUAUUUUCCCUUCUUAUUAUUAUUAAAU